GCGCCAGCGUCCCACAAGUCCUGCGUUUUUAGAGCCAUUCAUUAACAAACAGCAACACAGCGGCAGCACAGCGAACAUGUCAGACAAGAAACAGACCGUGGACCUGGGCUUACUGGAGGAAGAUGACGAGUUUGAAGAAUUCCCAGCCGAAGAUUGGACGGGGCUGGAUGAAGAUGAAGAUGCUCAUGUUUGGGAAGACAACUGGGAUGAUGACAAUGUAGAGGAUGAUUUCUCAAAUCAACUGAGGGCUGAGCUGGAAAAACAUGGUUACAAGAUGGAGACGUCAUAGCGGCUGACAAGGCCUUUCAGUAUUCAACGACAUUGGAUAUGGACAUUUAUAUUUGAACAUGGUUGACCACACACCAACUGAAGAGAUUUGAUGAUGUUGAUUUGUUUCUCUCUUUUUUUUUUUUUUUUUUUUUUUUUUUUGUAAAAAAAAUUGAUAGAAGUAAAGUGUUUGGAGAAAACUGUU